UGUGCUCAUAGCGGUGUGGUCCCACCCGUCCCCAUUCCGAACACGGAAGUGAAACGCACCUGCGCCGAUGGUACUCGGCCCGAAGGGGCCCGGGAGAGUAGGGCAGCGCAGAGGU
rnacentral:rRNA from 1 species